GUAAUGUUGUAUUGACAAAAUACCGAUAUCCUUGAAGACGUGUCCUGUAUUGUGGCAUCAUGAUAUCUAAAAGCACUCGGAAAAUUCACCUUUCUUCUGAAAAUUACAGUCUCAUUCUUGGACUGGAAUGAUUCUGAUCAGAAGGGGAAGACCCUCACUUCACAUUUCUCUAUGAAGAAAUAGAGGAACAGAGAGGGUAAGCUACUUUCCCAAUGUCACACAACUUUUAAGAAGCAGAAGUGAGAUUUGAAUUGAGGCUUCAUGAGGUUCCAGAGUCUUUGAUGUUAUAAUUUCCCAGACACAGCCUAGACCCUUUUGAAAUAUUUUUAUUAAGCAAGUUUGAAUAACUUGCUGGGGAUCUGGUUUUUAAGCAAACAACCCAAAUGAGAUGAUUUUCCCCAUUAGGAAAGUUCGGGAAACUU
rnacentral:lncRNA from 1 species